ACCGCCCGUCACACUAUAGGAGUUGGCCAUAUUUGAAGUCAUUACCCUUAAUCCUAAGGAGGGGGAUUCCUAAGGCUAGGCUUGCGAUUGGAGUGAGGUUGUAACAAGGUAGUCGUACUGGAAGGUCCGACUG
rnacentral:rRNA from 9 species